CCUACGGGAGGCAGCAGUGGGGAAUUUUGCGCAAUGGGGGAAACCCUGACGCAGCAACGCCGCGCGAGUGAUGAAGGCCUUCGGGUUGUAAAGCUCUUUGAGUGGGGACGAAGCCCCACGGGACGAAUAAUCCCGUGGUCUGACGGUACCCACAGAACAAGUUCCGGCUAACUACGUGCCAGCAGCCGCGGUAAUACGUAGGGAGCAAGCGUUGUUCGGAAUUAUUGGGCGUAAAGAGCGCGUAGGCUGUUCGGUAAGUCCGAUGUGAAAGCCCAUGGCUUAACCGUGGAACUGCAUUGGAAACUGCCGGGCUGGAGUGCGGGAGAGGAGAGUGGAAUUCCCAGUGUAGAGGUGAAAUUCGUAGAUAUUGGGAGGAACACCGGUGGCGAAGGCGGCUCUCUGGACCGCAACUGACGCUGAGACGCGAAAGCGUGGGGAGCAAACAGGAUUAGAUACCCUGGUAGUCCACGCUGUAAACUGUGAGAACUAGGUGUAGGGGGUACCGACCCCCCCUGUGCCGCAGCUAACGCAUUAAGUUCUCCGCCUGGGGACUACGGCCGCAAGGUUAAAACUCAAAGGAAUUGACGG
rnacentral:rRNA from 1 species